UUCGAAAUGUAAAUACAUAAAAAUCCAGAAAGGGGGGGCAGCAGGGAAGGCAAGCUAUGAAACCUCAAAACCCCCAGCUUUCUGGGGGAAAGAGAAGAAAAUAAAGGUGGUGACAUUUUAAGCUGGAAAAGAAGAAAGAAAAAGAGAGGGAAAAAAGAGGCUAGGGUUAGUACCUGGUUGAUUCCAAAGCCCGGGCACUGGCCUUGCGUCAUCCUGUCUACUGUCCUGGCGUCAUGUCAGCAAGUGAGGAAGAUGCCGGGAGGAGGUACCAGGCCUGUAGAACAGCACGUGGGGAGCUUUCCGGUGGAAGAGAACUGGCAGUGAGUGAGGAGGCCAAGGGAGGCUCUCUCCCCAUUGUCUUAAGUACUAUUGGUGGAAUGCAGAGGCAUUUCAAGGGAACCGAACUGUCGGAUCUUCUGGGCUGUGUUUGUUAGGUGUGAACAAAACCAAAACCAAACACAAACCAAAAUAAGACACCCAAACCAAUUCUUAUUCUCAGUGGCAGUUGGAAGACUUGCUAUCCAUGCACAGUGCCUGGCCCUCUGCUGUCCCGUCCCAAGAACUACUCCCUUGGCUUAACCUUUGGGAAAUGGGGCUGCGAUUUGCCUAGAUUUACUAUCACCCAACACGAUGGACUGCCUGGGACACGGGCUCUUGGCAUCGGUUGACCAAAAUUAAGCGGCGCGAUGUACAGGCCAGGCACGGUGCCUUCCACUCUUGAAGAAAUGGGUUCGAUAUUCAGAUCUGUGUUUAUUUUAUUUCAGUAAGCUGAGGAAAAGUGACAGGGUUGGUCUCAAAGAACCGGACAAAGGAUGGUGUGGCCAUAUGGAUUCCAAGCCCCAUGGAGAAAAAAGAGAAGCAGUAGAUAGUGAAGGUUGGACAACAGCCGGUAGGAGUCCCUGUGGUGGGAAUCUCUGUGGGAUUCUUUCCUUCACAGCACACCAGCCCCUGUAGAGAGGGGCUUUGUUUCCAGUCAGGGCUUGAGGAGUUGGUUACACAGAGUUUUGUUUUCAGAAGCCUGUGUGUGAGCUGAGGUUGGUGACUCCACCGUCUCUGAGUGGAAACAGCUACAACACUCAUGUGCCCCUAAUUAUCCCCGAGGAUAUAAAACAUCUAGUACCUUGCAAGGCCUUUUUUUCUCUCUAGGACACAAAUUCCUCUUUCCUCCCUCUUCAAUAAACCAAGUUGUGAUUAAAACCUUAGGAAGGAAAAAGGGCGCCACCGAGCAUGUCCUCCACAACCCUCCCAACGUGGCCACUGAGUCACAGGAAAAACAUUCAGGAUGAGAGACCUCGGGGCCCCUGGAGGCAGGGGUGGAUCCGACUAUUGAUAAGCUUCUUCUCUCUAUUUAGAAACUUGCUUUUUCCCAGAGAGGUCCUUUAAAAGUGUUGGACCACUGACUGCAGUUCCGUUCACGGCCACAGACAGUGGCUGGGGUGGUUGGCAGGAGAGACACGUGAAGGACUGAUUUGCCUUUCCAUGACACGCAGGCGGGUGGCACGGUGCCCAGGACUGCAGUACAAAGGCCACCCCUAGAUCAGGAUAUUCGUUUGAAAAAACGGGAACAAUAAUAAAACAUAACACAGUGACUCCUGGGCCUGGACUAUUUUGCCAUGUGACCACACUGACCAAGAAACAGAAGGGGCAACACAGCUAAAGCGUUAUAAAAAAAAAACAACGUGAAGUGCUAAACGUGUUCCCUUCCAUUUUGAAAGAGGCUCCAUCCUUCUCGGCUGAGCGUACCAAAGACUAAGCGAGCGGGUGCCCGAGAGUAUAAACAUUGCUCACAGCCUUGCGCCCCAGAGAAGCAAGAAACAUUUUUUCUAAAGUUUGAAGUCUCUGCCCAAACACAGUUUGCAAUGUUUUGGGAGUAGGAUCCAAGUUCUGUUGAAUGCUUAUGAGACAUUUUGCUUAUUAAAUAAUCUUCUGAAAUCUGCCAGGUUUCAAUGACUCAUGGAUUCAUGCAAACGAAUGCAUGGCAGUUUGGAUUAUGGAAUCCGAGGGAAGAGAAUCCUCAAAUGUGCACUUUACAGGGAGGAGACCGGCUGCCAGGACACUGGAAAUGAUUUGCCCGGACCACGCCCUGGGAAGUGCCCAUGUUUGGAAAGCCGGGCCGGAACCCCAAACCUCCGAGCUCAGGACUCUUUCUUCUGAACCCAGUUUUCCUGGGGGCCAGUGAGAAGUCUCUCUGGGUAAGGACGCAUGCCAGCAAGCUAUGACCUGGGCUUGAUGUCUGGAACCCACACAGUAGAAGGAGAGAACUGACUCUCACAGGCUGCCCCCCUGAUCUCAAGAGGCUGUGGCAUGCAGGGUUGCUGUUGCUAUCUGAGGACUUAAUUCUUCAGGUGAAGAGAGCGGGAUGGAGCUUGGAGGGCAGGAAUUCUGGGACUCAACUGGAUUCUGUCAGAGAGGAAGGGAUGUGCUGAGCUCUGCAAACCUCCUUCCGCUAUUGACAGCGGAGCCUGCUGGUGAGGGACGGGUGACCUUCACCUGCUCUGCCUUAGUCAAUAACAACCCAGAGACAAACAGUCGCUUCAUCUACAACAACCACUUAAUUUUGUGCCCCACUCUAUUUACAGUCAGAAAAAAGAAAAGCAAACCAAAUUCUGUGAUAUGUAUUUUUUUUUCUUCAGUCAAGGAUGUACCACAAAUGUCAACAAAGUGUCCUUUUGGUCAAUACUUGCUAGGGAAAGUACAGUGUGUUCUUGGGAUGAUUAUGGUACACAAGGCUUCUCACAAACUAAUGAAAACAUCGAACUUGUUACAUAUUUAUACACAAGUACUUUGGGAUGUUGUAGGAAGGCGAACUCCACAGAUCUACAUUCUAAUAAAGCCCCAUUCACACAUAAACACAUACACACAUAACUUUUUUGUAUUUACAUCAGCCAUGGGUGGAAUUUUCUGCCCAGUCCUGGGGGUGGGGGCAGCUUUAAAUAUUUCAUGGGAAAAUAAGAGUGCUUCUUUACUCCCUUAAGACGAAACGGAAUGGAUAAAUAAUGCAUAUGUCUGAGGCCAGUUUUAAAAACCUCGUGAUUUGUACUGACUGAGGGGAACCAACCGACACGUGAAGCCAGAAACUAUGAAAAUUGAAAGGGAAAUAGGUGGAAAAUUCCACAAGCCUAAAUCCCAGCUCCCAGGACGGCAGGAUUGUCACCUGAGAGGCAUCUGCUGAAUUUUUGGCAGCCUUGCAUUACCUUGCUUUGAAGACAGAGUGUAAUAUCAAGGGCUUCCAGAAGGAGACUGAAUUAUAUUUGCUGGGAGACUUCUUGGUACCAUCAAUUUAUCUAAAUCUAAGUGAACAGCCAAUAUCGAGAAAGACGUCAACCCCGGAAGCUUCCCCUAGUGGACAGUAUUAACUGGGGACAAGCAGCUAAGGUGCCCAUUUGACAUAAUCAAAGUGGACCUGGGCUGUCAGGUUCUCCCAGCAUCCUUCAGUCCCUACUCCUCAGGGUAUAGUUGACAAACCCCCACGACCUCUACUCUGAAAGGUCCAGCCCAGGGGCUGGGCUGCCUACCCCCCAGAAGCUCUUCUCUGUGUAGCCCAGACUUUAGCUUUCCAGCUGCUGCUCUUGGUUUCCUUUUCCCCCCUCUCCCUACAUGGUACAGGGUCAUGAACUCUAUGGACUCUCCCAGAUGCCUCUCCCACAUAUCUAUAAUAAUUUUUUCCUCCACCAUACCUAGGAGCAGUCACAGUCUGUUCUUUCCUAUUCUUUUUUUUUUUUUUUCAUUCAGAGAGCACUGUCUUUUGGUGGGGAGGGGAAACCUACCCUCAAAUCUGCAUUACAGAGUUCUUGUAACCAUGGGUCCAGGCAGACAGAUUGUUACUGCAAAGGUUUUCUGCGCUAGUUUGUACACCACCUGAGGAAUACAGGGGAAGGUUCACCUACAGUAGAAGUUGGGACUUCCCACAGCGGGAACAAUGUCAGGCAUUGUAAUAAAUGUGUCCUUCGGACCUUCAUCAAGUGCAGAAACAUUUCAUGUAUGAGGAGGGUGGGGCCGAUAAACUCUCAGAGAGGUGAGUUCAGUUACCUUGACUGCCACAAUGUGUUACUUUCUAGGCAUAAGAAACAUUCUAUCUGAGUCUUUUCUAUUCUAGGGAAUGAAUACUUUAAAACCAGUGUUUAAAACAAGUAUUUUUACAAGUCUUUUCUUUUACACUCCUACCCCACACUGGGAAAACAUUUCUGUAAAUGUUUUAUCCUUCUUCCCCACCCAGUAAAGAUUUUGUGCCUGCUGUGUUCUGGGCACUUGAUGUAGACCUGUGAUCCCUUUCUCCCAGGAGCAGUAAACCCGAUUUCCCAUUUCCUGUGCUCACAGUCUUAAAAGAUUAGUCAAUCACAAAAGACUGUGAAGUCGCCAAUCAUAAAAGACUGUGAAGUCGGAUUCUAACCAACAGGGAAAAGACACAGGCACUACUUACAUUAGAAUAAAAAUCCAAGAACAAUUCCCAUCCCGGUGUGUUUGCUCUUCCCAUUGGCGAGCAAUGUUCCCUGUUGAUUAAGAGUAAAGUUUUACCUUAACUUCAUUUAGAAGGGCUAUCCCAUUCUUAGUUCUAAAGUAGGCAUCUGAAGUAGCUUUUGAGGA
rnacentral:sRNA from 1 species